rnacentral:rRNA from 1 species
GACGGAGGAUGCAAGUGUUAUCCGGAAUCACUGGGCGUAAAGCGUCUGUAGGUGGUUCGAAAAGUCCACUGUUAAAAAUUGAAGCUUAACUUCAAAGAUGCCGUGGAAACUUUCAAACUAGAGUGUGGUAGGGGUAGAGGGAAUUUCCAGUGGAGCGGUGAAAUGCGUAGAUAUUGGAAAGACCACCGAUGGCGAAGGCACUCUACUGGGCCACUACUGACGCUGAGAAGCGAAAGCAUGGGGAGCGAACAGG